rnacentral:rRNA from 1 species
UGGGGAAUAUUGCACAAUGGGCGCAAGCCUGAUGCAGCCAUGCCGCGUGUGUGAAGAAGGCCUUCGGGUUGUAAAGCACUUUCAGCGAGGAGGAAGGGUAGUGUGUUAAUAGCACAUUGCAUUGACGUUACUCGCAGAAGAGGCACCGGCUAACUCCGUGCCAGCAGCCGCGGUAAUACGGAGGGUGCAAGCGUUAAUCGGAAUUACUGGGCGUAAAGCGCACGCAGGCGGUUUGUUAAGUCAGAUGUGAAAUCCCCGCGCUUAACGUGGGAACUGCAUUUGAAACUGGCAAGCUAGAGUCUUGUAGAGGGGGGUGA